CCUACGGGGGGCAGCAGUGAGGAAUAUUGGUCAAUGGCCGGAAGGCUGAACCAGCCAAGUCGCGUGAGGGAAGACUGCCCUAUGGGUUGUAAACCUCUUUUAUAAGGGAAGAAAAAAUGCUACGUGUAGAAUGAUGCCUGUACCUUUUGAAUAAGCAUGGGUUAAUUCCGUGCCAGCAGCCGCGGUAAUACGGAGGUUGCGAGGGUUAUACGGAUUUAUUGGGUUUAAAGGGUGCGUAGGCGGAUUUUUAAGUUAGUGGUUAAACGUCGGGGUUUCACCUUGAUUUGCCAUUACUACUGUAAGACUCGAGUUCAGACGAGGUAGGCGGAAUAAGUUAAGUAGCGGUGAAAUGCUUAGAUAUAACUUAGAACUCCGAUAGCGAAGGCAGCUUACCAGACUGCGACUGACGCUGAAGCACGAGAGCGUGGGUAGCGAACAGGAUUAGAUACCCUAGUAGUC
rnacentral:rRNA from 1 species